rnacentral:pre_miRNA from 14 species
CCCUGCUGGGGCUAAAGUGCUGACAGUGCAGAUAGUGGUCCUCUCUGUGCUACCGCACUGUGGGUACUUGCUGCUCCAGCAGGG